AUGACUGUUGCUUUGAAAGAAAAUAAUGAUAUGCAUGAAUUUACAGAUAAUUAUGAUUCUGAUGAUUUGAUUGAGAUACCCUCCCUUGAUGAGUGUGAUGUUUGCUAUUCUUGUGGCCAUGAUGUCAAUAUUUAUGGAGAUGAAUUUGCUAUAGUCCCGUAUGUUAAACAUGAGAUUGUUGCUAUUGCACCCAUAUUUGAUAGUUCCUUGAAUCAAAAGCAUGAUUGCAAUGAUGUUAUUAUAAAUUAUAUUAAUGUCAAUUAUGCUAAUAAUAUGCAAAACCCUGGGAUGCUAGUUUUGCUAUGUCCGCUAUUUAUUGCAAUAAUCAUAAUUGGAGUGAUAAUGCUUCUUAUGAUCUUGAAAAUUUAUUUAAGCCUCAUGAUGAACAUGUUUGCUAUAAUAUUUAAAGUGGGUUUGGAAGAGUGCCAACUUUAG
rnacentral:rRNA from 1 species